GAUGAAGAACGCAGCGAAAUGCGAUAAGUAAUGUGAAUUGCAGAAUUCAGUGAAUCAUCGAAUCUUUGAACGCACCUUGCGCUCCUUGGUAUUCCGAGGAGCAGGCCUGUUUGAGUGUCAUGAAAUUCUCAACCUUUUCAGCUUUCUUUGUUGAUCAGGCUUGGAUGUGGGAGUAUGCGGGCUUCUCAGAAGUCGGCUCUCCUGAAAUGCAUUAGCGGGACCUUUGUUGCCUGGCUUUGGUGUGAUAAUUAUCUACGCCAUUGUAGUCAAGCAGCUUAAAAUGAGGUUUCAGCUUCUAACCGUCUCCCCUGAGACAACUUUUUGACAAUUUGACCUCAAAUCAGGUAGGACUACCCGCUGAACUUAAGCAUAUCAAUAAGCGGAGG
rnacentral:misc_RNA from 1 species